rnacentral:rRNA from 1 species
UCCCUACGGGGGGCAGCAGUGAGGAAUAUUGGUCAAUGGGCUAAGGCCUGAACCAGCCAAGUCGCGUGAGGGAAGACGGUCCUAUGGAUUGUAAACCUCUUUUGUCGGGGAGCAACGAGGCCACGUGUGGCCGAAGUGAGAGUACCCGAAGAAAAAGCAUCGGCUAACUCCGUGCCAGCAGCCGCGGUAAUACGGAGGAUGCGAGCGUUAUCCGGAUUUAUUGGGUUUAAAGGGUGCGCAGGCGGCCUGUUAAGUCAGCGGUAAAAGCCCGGGGCUCAACCCCGGCGAGCCGUUGAAACUGGCGG